rnacentral:rRNA from 1 species
CAACAACGGAUCUCUUGGUUCUGGCAUCGAUGAAGAACGCAGCGAAAUGCGAUAAGUAAUGUGAAUUGCAGAAUUCAGUGAAUCAUCGAAUCUUUGAACGCACAUUGCGCCGGCAGUAAUCUGCCGGCAUGCCUGUCCGAGCGUCAUU